UCUCCGUUGGUGAACCAGCGGAGGGAUCAUUACCGAGUGCAAACUCAUAACCCUUUGUGAACCUAUAUCUGUUGCUUCGGCGGCUCGCUCUCGGGCGAGCCCGCCGGUAAUAUCAGUAUCUCUGUUUGAACCCGACGAUACUUCUGAGUGUUCUUAGCGAACAGUUAAAACUUUUAACAACGGAUCUCUUGGCUCUAGUAUCGAUGAAGAACGCAGC
rnacentral:misc_RNA from 1 species